rnacentral:rRNA from 1 species
AUUGAACGCUGGCGGCAUGCCUUACACAUGCAAGUCGAACGGCAGCACGGGUGCUUGCACCUGGUGGCGAGUGGCGAACGGGUGAGUAAUACAUCGGAACGUACCUUAUCGUGGGGGAUAACGCAGCGAAAGCUGUGCUAAUACCGCAUACGCCCUGAGGGGGAAANCGGGGGAUCGAAAGACCUCGCGCGAUUAGAGCGGCCGAUGCCUGAUUAGCUUGUUGGUGGGUAAAAGCCACCAAGGCGACGAUCAGUAGCUGGUCUGAGAGGACGAUCAGCCACACUGGGACUGAGACACGGCCCAGACUCCUACGGGAGGCAGCAGUGGGGAAUUUUGGACAAUGGGGGAAACCCUGAUCCAGCAAUGCCGCGUGAGUGAAGAAGGCC